rnacentral:rRNA from 1 species
GACGAACGCUGGCGGCGUGCUUAACACAUGCAAGUCGAACGGAAAGGCCCUGCUUGCAGGGUACUCGAGUGGCGAACGGGUGGGUAACACGUGGGUGAUCUGCCCUGCACUUCGGGAUAAGCCUGGGAAACUGGGUCUAAUACCGGAUAGGAGCCAUUUUUAGUGUGAUGGUUGGAAAGUUUUUUCGGUGUAGGAUGAUCUCGCGGCCUAUCAGCUUGUUGGCGGGGUAAUGGCCUACCAAGGCGGCGACGGGUAGCCGGCCUGAGAGGGUGGACGGCGACAUUGGGACUGAGAGACGGCCCAGACGCCUACGGGAGGCAGAAGUGGGGAAUAUUGCACAAUGGGCGCAAGCCUGAUGCAGCGACGCCGCGUGGGGGAUGACGGCCUUCGGGUUGUAAACUCCUUUCGCUAGGGACGAAGCUUUUUGUGACGGUACCUAGAUAAGAAGCACCGGCUAACUACGUG